rnacentral:rRNA from 1 species
UACGUAGGGUGCGAGCGUUGUCCGGAUUUAUUGGGCGUAAAGAGCUCGUAGGCGGUUUGUCGCGUCGGCCGUGAAAUCUCCACGCUUAACGUGGAGCGUGCGGUCGAUACGGGCAGACUUGAGUUCGGUAGGGGAGACUGGAAUUCCUGGUGUAGCGGUGAAAUGCGCAGAUAUCAGGAGGAACACCGGUGGCGAAGGCGGGUCUCUGGGGCCGAUACUGACGCUGAGGAGCGAAAGCGUGGGGAGCGAACAGG